AAGUACUCUAUUGUCGAUUUCGGAUGGCUGCACUUUUUUGCACUGGUGCAAUUUCCCCGAGAAAAAGUUGUUCGAGUGGUAAUCUUAGUGCAAUCCACUUUUUCGGUGCAUCGAAUUUGUACGUUCCAGUGGCACUCCGGCACCGCCCGAGGUCACUCGAAAACUGCACUUUCUUGCCCGACCUUUUUAGUCAGUGCAAGCGGUGCAGUGCAAUUUCUAGCAGACGAAUUUAGAGAGUGUGUUGUUUAGUGAUAGGAGCCAUUUUUUCUUUCGUCUGCUACUUCCUCCAGGGCGUAAAAAGUGAAAAAAGUGUUCGAGUGUAACGUUUAUUUUCUGACAACCCAGUGGAGUGCAUGACGUCACAUGACCCUUCUCGCUCUGAGCCAGUGUGCACUGGCUACUGCACCGAGUGCAGCCAUCCGAAAUCGACAUAUGUUAAACGCCUGUAAAAAAGCCACGCUCCACGUUACUUUUCACGAACCAGAUAUUUUACACGCUUACCAUAGGCUCACUCACUCCGACAGUGCUGCACCAUGCGGAGACCUGGUGCACUACCAUGCAAAACGCUAUCCUUUCCAAAUCCGCUUGGUGCAGCACUUUCGGAGGGAGCAAGGUUCGCGAAGAGUGACGUGGGUCGUAAGGAGUAGUUUGACCAUCUCUAUGAUACUGCAGCAGCGGUUAGCGGAAUGGCCGAUGGCGGAAUCAGCAAGUAGACGGAGACAGAGACAGAGACUGAGAGACAGAGACAGACAGUAAAAGACAGCACUUCAUCAUGCUGCUGAUCACCAGGUGCUCUUUCAUCGUGAAUGGAACCAAUAAGUAAAGUACAUUUUGAUAUUUUUGCUGAUCGUUUGAAAAAUAAGAGUAAUGUAAAAGAAUUCUCACAUUGUCAACUAUUGUAUUUGUCAUUGCCUCUGCAUGCUGUAAGUGGCGUCACACGGACAGAAUUUGAUACUGAUUGCUGAUACAAAUGAACGGAUUGUGAUACUGAUAGCAGUAUCACAAUUCAGUUGGCUUUACAUAGUACCAAGUGUAUUUCUUGUAGAAAUUCCUUUCUUACAAAACUAUAUGGUUUUUUAGUGUCUCAAAAAAUGUUUCUGCUUUCUGCCAAUCACACCUGUCUAGCCUGUUGCUUCAAUUUCAACACAAAUGGCACUAAAUAAUUGCCAUAGCGUUGACAGUUUACCCAUUUCAAUAUAUCAUCUGCUGGGAUUUGGUAAGCGCCAUGCAUUUCGAAUUAUUUGCAUUUGUCCUGUAAUAUUUUACUACUAUGGCGCCAAGUAUCCCAGCAAUUGCUGUUCACAAAAUAGCUUGAGCUCAUACAAGAUUGCUGUUACGAAAAAAAAACAAAAAACUAAUGCAUAACAGAUAAAACACUGUUUUUUAUGAGUUGGUCUCAUGCAUACAGACAUAAUCACAUAACACUGAUGAGUGAUGACAUUGUGUUUUUUCUUAUAUUCUUUAUGUGUUUUGUGUAUUUGUUAUUUUUUAAAGAUCAUGAUUGGAUAUUGCCUAAUUGUGCACAGGAAAAAAUUUAUUGGUAGGUAAAAAUAGAUUUUUGACCUAAAGUAAGUGCAUUGAAUUAUCUUAGAAUGCAAGUCAAAGCCCACUCAUUUAAAAAGUGGUUAAUACCUUUUAUGUUGUUAAAGUGUUUGUUUGCAGUGUGCCAAUCUUUGGAAAAUUAAAUUGGAACAAAUUCAUUGACACACAUAGCCCUAAAAUAGUUAAAAUCUAGAAAUGUUAAGUUCAUUAUUUUCUUUAACAGGUACGCAAGAAUGAUCGGUUGGUAAAUCACAAUAUUACACUUGGUGGGAGAAGAAAGCAGUUGGAAUGUGUGUUGCUUAGUUUACCUCUGUUGGUUGUUUCUAUCAGGUAUCUUUUAAACCUUAAUCAAUCUGUGGAAAAAGUGUUUGGUGGGAUAAAAGAGAUGCCAACAUUGUUGGAGAUCCAUGAUGUCAUCCAUCAAAUGAUAUUUCAGUUCUCUGAGAUUGUUAUGAACAAGAAAGUUUUUUUAAUUUGUCAGUCUUCUUUAAAUUUGUAAUAUUUUUUAGAGAAAUGCCAUGGAAAUAAAGCAUUUGACAGAAUAGAUUCAUUUGGGUUGGUACCUAAACCAGUAUGGAAGUUACUUGUUCAGUGUUACCAGCUUGCUUGUAGACUUGAACCAAUUGCCUUAAAGUAUUUUUGAUUAAUCUUAACACUGCAGAACUUUAUAUCUACUUUUUAUUUUUGUUAGAUUGUAGAACACAAAAUUCUGACCAGUUAUCUGUGAGUGGAAAUCUAGUUGACAGCCCAAAUUGGCCAAAUAUGUGUAGUUUCAGUUUUUAUAAAUGUUUAGUUUCAGAAACUGUUGUAAAAGUUGGAAGUGACAUCCUUGGAUUUCCUGGAAAUAGCAACAUACACUUAUGGACAAAAUCAAGUUAAUGGAAAAUUGCCUAUGAAAAUGCAGGCAAUCCAGGAAACGAGUCCAAUGGAAAGCCAAACUUUGGUGGCUGUAGUACAACACCAGAAUGGAACAUCUCCGCGAAAGACACCAUUUCAAAACGGUAACCAGCAAGAACAUCUUAUUCAUCAUUGUAAGAACUUAAGUUCCCACUUUGUAUUGCUUUGAAAUAGCUUUUUCCCCUAUCCUUUGAAGAUUCUUUAGUCCAGGUUUCGUUCCACCGCGUCUUUGCGUUAACCAUCUGGGUAACACUUGUUUUAUGAACGGUGUUGCAAGUAGGCUGAAUCAUUCUUAACGGAAAUUAACGUUAGUAUUAAUAACUGACGUUUUGGUUUAUGUCAGAUAGUUCGCCCAUUCAACAGUACAUUUGGAAGAGCGACAUUGUGUUAAACUGAACAAUGAAAAUGCUCUAUGCCAUCAAGGUGAAAUUGCAAAAGUUUCGCUGACUUCUUAGAAGCUAUUUCGUUUGGCCAACACCAUGCAUUCUCUCCGAGGACAUUAAAGGUUUACUGUUUAUUUGUAUUGAAAAGGUCAGGUUUUUAGCUUGUGCAUAAAUACCUCUACUGAAUUGGAUUAGUUGCAAGUCGGUCGCAGUUUUCCGGAUCCUAGUAAUGUGACUCACAGGUACUAUUCACGUUUCUCCUUGACCAUUUAUCCCAAGAUUGAAAUCUGAUAUUUGGAAGCAUUUGAACUCAAGCGUUCAGAUGCGAUAGCUUAUCGUUUCCCACGGUACCGUUCGUUUGCCUUCAACCCGUUUAUCCUCAACACUAAAUUUAAUUUUUCAGGAAAUACCACGUGAACGCUGUAAAAAUUAUCGUAAACAGAUUAAUGCUGUAAUAUUAACUCUCCUCCAUGAGAUGCUAAAGUCGACCUUAGUGUGCUGCUUGUGCAACACGGUUUCAGCUACCUUUGACCCAGCUUGAAAUUUAUCGCUCACAAUGCUAGUAAAAAAAUCUACGGCCAAUUGAGUUGUAUCUUGCACGCCACAUUCGACCAUCAAGUCCAUUACGUUUACCAUCAAGGGAUUUUACAAAAACAAAAUUUGUACAAUCUUAGAUUAAUUGAAGCCGUAUUUAAGCUUUUUGGAAUUACAGCUGAUAACAUGAUUAUGUAGCUAGCUUCCAUUAACAUUAGUUUCACGAUAUCUUCACGAAGGGAAGCAGCAUUUCUCAAAUUAGCGAGCAUAAUUUCAUGUAUAAUAACUUGUAGUUAUUGCCAUGGAUCUACUUGAUAUUGGUAUAUUCACUUCCCAUAUUUAGAUCAUUAAUUUCUACAUUUUAUCCCAUUUAGGUAUGAACUACCAUAAAGGCUUGGGACACUGGCUGUUAUCCGAAAGAAGAGUAGACAACGAAUAAUUACGGUAACGAUGUUCGGUGUUCCCUUCAUGCUUCCAGUGUCUUGCGAAUGAAUGGAUCGUGAUAAAUCAUACCAAUGUGUAGGAACAUGUAUGAAACUUUAUCUUAAAACAGCAAAUGAUCAGGUCUUGGCAGGCCGAUCAUCGUCUGAUGUUAUCACACAUAUUGUCUUUUAAUCAAAUCGCCUCAAAACUUUACAGGUUAACUAGGUUAGCGUGAUUGUAUGCUAGCGAUACAGUGUUAGCGUGCUCCAUCAGAAUUAUUGGAGAUAUAUUUUAAAAAACGACUGGUUUGACGAGAAAAGAAACCAGUUACAUGAAAUUGACGCUUAAUUUAUAGUUUAAUUUUUUAUUUUCAUCGGAUUCCAUAAACUAUUUUUUUGCGGAUUUUAACAAGAAUGCGAAAAUUAUUUGUAGCCUUCCCACUUUUUCAUUUUUGGCAAAAUUUUAGAUAGUUAAAAAUAUGUGCUUUCGAUUUAAAAUUCGACGAAAAUGAUGAAUAUCAAGUUCAUUUUUGCAUUGGGGUUAAGGUUUUUUAUCUUAAUGAAAAAAACACUACUUUUGACGUUCGUUGCGGAUUUUUGAAACCUUGUGUCCUGCAGGCUGCAGCGAGUUUACCUUUCAUGUUUACCGGUGAACAGAGCUCGUUAUUGCAGGAAAAAUUUCAGAAAGAGAAAAACUUGAAUAAAAAAGAAAUACGUUGUUUUUAGAGAACAGUAUUGUGAACCUGAAUUUAUCAAGCAAACGUAAGUUUUACCCACUUUUCUUACUAUCUUUAGUAUUCUUCAAUUCUAGACGACAACUUAUACAGCACAAAAAAUAAUUCUUUUUUCCUGAUUAACACAAACAUCGACUGACGAUCCUUCAUUUCUUCGAAAGAAUUCCUGGUGAAUAUUUUUAAACUUUCUUGUUAAAUCCUAAACGUGGUCUGUUCCGCAAAUUUGCGUCCUGCAUGCUAUGCUCCUGUUGCCAUAGAUUUGAGUGAUUUUGGUUUGGUUUUCGUGAUUCGAUUUAAAUUUUCAAUCGAAAUUAUGAUUUUUAAACCAGAAAUAGAAUUUAAUUCAAAAUUGAGAAAGCAAACUAAGGUCACUCGUUUUGUUUUUCAGGUAACGUUGCUCGUGUGAUUUCUUCUUCCGACAGGUGGCAUCUCUUGUUUCCGGCUCCUCGUGUGUUGUGUCGAUUCAGUCGAAGUAGUCGGUGUCAGUCUUAUCCCUAAAAGAAAUUCACUACUUUUUAUUCCAAACUUUCGUUCAAAUAGUUUAUGUAGACGCAAUUAAUUAUGUAACUUUUUUUUGUGUUUUCUUAUCAGUAGGCUAUAGAUUAAAUCACUUUCAUCUAGUAGAACUGACCCUUCCAAUGGUUAACAUAUCUUCCCUGGUAUGUUCACCAAAGCAGGGCUUACGGUGGAUUUAUCCUAACCAGUUGCUUACAAUCCCACAAAAACCAAGGCCUGUUUUAUGACCUGGGAUGUAUAGAGUGUUAAGCAGAUGAUUGUCACUCGCUGGCUGUGACUAUUUGAUUUCUCUUGGAUUAUGCAAUGAAUCACUACAACCAUGCCGUUUUCCAUGAUCAAAGAGUUGCUGCCUUGUUGGAAGAGCUUGAGCUAUAUCCAUACGCCUUCCAUCCUUAAUUAAACCAACAAUCUUAUCAAUAGCGACAUGAAAUACCAAAUGAAGUAGAGGAAAGUAAAACAAUUCUUAACAAUACGCGUAGUUGGAAAGGAUUUUGAAUCCUUUUUUAAGGAAAUAUCAUUAGAUGCCUAAAAACAUGUCGUUAGCUGAAUUUGUACUGAACUGGGUUUCUUGCGAAACUGAUCCUCACUAGUCAUCGCCGACCGGACCGACCCCAGUUUUUCUGAGAUUUCCCUCCACAGAUGGCGCUAAAGGAGGAGCGAUUUUUCGCGCUGUCAUCGCCAAUCGGACCGACUCUACUUUUUUCUGGUAUUUCUCCCCACAGAUGGCGCUGGUGGCGGGGCGAUUUUUCGGUAUGUCGGCAGUAAUCUCUUGUUCGUAUUUUUUUUGUGUGUUUGAUUGUGUGCCGCUGAUAUUGGUAUCAUUUUGAGGAAGAAAUAACGGAGCAGCUCGGGGUCGAGUUCUCGUGUUUAUCGGCUGAACGACACAACGAGUGCGGAGCAGUUUAGUCGGCCAACUCGAGUCGAUCUCGGGGUUCUCGUAUGAAUGCUUUACGGGUUUUCUUAUUUUAGAUGGUGUGUCGAAAAAAUUGACGUUGUCUUGUAGAGUAGAUAACGCUUGGUUUCCGGAGAGGUCGUGUUAAUUAUCGUAUCAAUGGUACAGGAAUGCCGAGCAAUCUAAAAGCGAAUUGAGUUUCAGCCGAUUUUUAUCCAGAGUGGAUGGUGCGUUGUUUAAGUUUGUUUUGUGUUAGUGGGUGGUUGAUUGUUUAAGGCGGAGCUUUGUGCGUCGCCUUGCAACGGACUUCAUUUUAAAGGCCGUGUAUACCUGGGGGACUUCAUUAAAAAGGCCGUGUAGAUCACGUGUCUAAUGUAAAAGAGAUCAUGUGUCUCAACGAAACUGGUUCUCUCCGUUUGUGACAUCAGACCUCCCUAGUGCCAUUCUAAUUCAGAGCUCUUGAAAUCAAGUUGAACGUUUUGAAACAUCUCAGGUCAAAUCUGAAAUUCUAGGUCUGUCGGUUUGUUCUGCUUGUAAACUAAUGAUUCAACCUAAUUGAAGUGCAAUUUAUUGUCUUGUUUGCAGAGGUAUUAGAAAAGUCGUCGAUUUUUGGUUAGAGUUUCUUCGCCAUCCGAUGCAUCAAUUGGAAUGAUGUUCACUUCCUCGACGUCAUUGCUCACGUAAUUUAAUAACUGUGCUUCGAAAAAAAAAGUAGUACUGACCUUCAAUUUUAAAAAGAAAACUGAUGCAUUUUUCUUAUCUCGAGGUUAUAUCGAUUCGCAAAGGUAAAUCGGAAGAGGGUAUUCUUUUCCUUGACAUAAGAACGGAAAUUUAAGUAUUAGCAAGUCAUCCGAAUCCAAACUGAUCAAAUGCACGAGAUAUUCCGCUUCGUCCGGCAACUUACUAUACAGCAACGCAUCCAUCAACAAAAUGUUUUUUUUUUUUUUUUUUCGUUUUUAUUGUUCGAUUUAGGUUGUAAUAGGUGAGGUGUAACCGCAUUCCAUGCCCGACCUUUCCUGUUUUCAUAAAAAGUAGACUUUGAAAAUUAAGCCCGACUUUUGUACAACAACCUGUGAUUAAGUCAGGCUACGAUUUUUAUACCGUUUAUGGAUCAAUGGUUACAUCGUCAUCAUAAUGAAAUAGAAGGUUAGCGGUUCGACCUCCAUGAGUGUGAACUGGUUGAACUAAACAUGAUUUAUGUUGAUGAUUCGUGUUAUCGUUACCGUUUUCAACCGAAAAUCAUGACAUCAAUUUUCACUCAACACAAUUUCUGUUACUUAUUAGUGUCCACAUGUUGCAACUACAUAAUAUAGAAAUACAGUCAAUAUGUUCAUGAAACUCAUGGCUCUAUGGUUGAGCGCAGGUGUGGUAUGCAGAAAGUCUAGGAUCGAUUCCCGACAGAGUUAAAAUGCUAUAUGGUUACAAAUUAGUCAAAGAAUCUUGUACACGUGACGGUGAGCACUUUCAAUUAGUGUAAAAUCCUGAAAUAUCACAAGACGCAUGCGAAGAAAGAAAGAGAAUAUAAAAGCGGUUAAAAAAUCAAAUUCUUUUUAUCUACAAUUUCACGUAGGUACAGUUCAAGAGCAGUAGAUUUCAUAAUAAUAUUAGUUGUAGCUCAGUGGUAGAGCAUUGGCUGUAUAAGCUAAAGGUUGUAGGUUCGAUCCUCAAGUAGCACAAGUUGAAUGAAUGAGUAUUUAAAUAGAAAGUCUCAUAAAGAACAAUGCACGUUCAAACUUGUGUAGUAAAUGGAACUAAAAUUAAAAUCUGAAUUCAAAUUCCAUUGAAAAAAGAAACACAAAAUUAAUACUUUUAAAUAUUUGUAUUGUUUAAGUACUAGUAAAUAGUUUAAGGCAGUGUCUCCGCUUACCAGACAUUACUUCAAUUGAAUUUGAAUCCCCGGGGAGAUUACCCGGGGCGUGGCUAAGAGAAGCCGGAAAAGGAUGGAAGGUUUCGGACAAGUUU